UUAUAUUUCUGGUCACAUGCCCUGAUGUGACAUCACAAUGCAAUAUCAUCAGCUGUUGGUGGUGGGCAGAGUAGACUUAGGUGGAUCCAGCUAUCCAUAUCUCUGAAACUAAAGACCUGCUAGGAACCUCCAGAGUGAAUCCUGGGUCACACAGACAUGGAUUAAUGUCUAAAGUCAGCAGUUCUGCUACAAAUCCAUGACUGCAUUGUAUUGUCUUUCUGCAGAAGCUGAAUAGGAAACACGGUACCAACCAUGUCUAUUUUACAGUGAGCUGAAGAAAGCAACACCACAGGAAAUUACAAAGACCAUUUAUUUGAAUCAGAAAGAUAGAAGCACGUUUUGCAAAGGAAGAAAACAUGCAGGAAACAGAAGGUCCCAUCACGUGAUGCAAGGUCUCUUUCAUAGAUAAUCCACAGGCAUUCCUAAGAAAAAGAUCUGCAGACAGAACCUUUUG